rnacentral:lncRNA from 1 species
AUGCUGGCCUGGUUUCUGCCCAGCUGGGCCCAACAGUGCCCAAGAGACCCAAUUUCCAACCUCUCCAGGGAAGAAGGAGUCCCUAGAGGCCAAAGACCUCCUUCCUUCUCAGUCUUCCUCCUCACGACAACCACUCAAGCCCCCAUACCUCAGCUUUACCAGGGACAGGUCCAAGCCCGAAGAAAAGUAAGAAAAUCCAUGAUGCUUACCGACUCAGGCCCUGUUCCUCUCCCCACUCAGCCUCACAUUCACUCAGGGCAGCACAAACCCGAGUGGCCGUUAGAAAGUGGAGUGGCGCGAGGCUCACGGCGCGAAGCCUGACCACGUGCACAGCUCGCUGGUCCCGCAGGGAAUCCGAGGCAGAAGCUGAUUGGCCGCAGUACUGGCCACACCCUCUUUAUUGGCUCCACUCCCCGCCCUCCCCUUGCCCUUCAAUCCCCGCCUCUGCCUCGCGACCUCCGCUGAUUGGCUGCAGAGCCCAAGCUCUUGCCCACCUGGCCGGCGCUGUGGCGAGGAGGCCUUAAGUCUGAUUGGUCUGCGGACUUAGACUUCAGGCCUCUAAGGCUGAGAUCUCAUCCACCAACUGGUCCUCAAGGUUUUGUAGCUGCGGAGAUUGCUCGUCCCAUCUUCUAAAAGACUGAACCUCCUUCAUCUGCAUCACCUUGGAAGCUCCCUCCGUAAGGGCUCAGGGAUAUCACUUCUUUCUUGGUUCUGUCUUAAAAUCCUGAGUAACUCUCACUGCAAAGUCUUUCACCUUUCUCUCAACCCCUUACAAUCUGUGGAGAAAUGAAUGUGAUUGGAUAGGGGCGGGGGGGGGGGGGGGGGGNNNNNNNNNNNNNNNNNNNNNNNNNNNNNNNNNNNNNNNNNNNNNNNNNNNNNNNNNNNNNNNNNNNNNNNNNNNNNNNNNNNNNNNNNNNNNNNNNNNGGGGGGGGGCGGGGAAGGCAGCCAGGCUUUGAAUGCUUGUGGGUAGCUCCCCUUUCCCGCCUUUUGCCCUGCUGAACGAUUAAUUGGCUGCAGAACGCGCCCUGCCCCAUCCGGGAGUAUAGGGAAACAGAAGACACAAGCGUGGGCAGUCAAUGCUCCAUUGACUCCUUAACAGUCAGCUGAGUCGGGAUUUAACUGCGUACUUCACGUACCAACCGCUGCUACACCGUAAAGAGAAUGACCCAUUAUGCUGCCCUGCCAUUAACUUGCCCCGGGUUAGAACCCGGCCAGCGGGCUUUCUGAUUAGGCGGCGUUUUGGUGCUGACACACCAUGCCAUUCUGAGGUGGGUCGACGGCCCACUAUCCUUGCUAACAUAGCACGGUGGAUAGGUUGGCCCCACUCCUAAGUGGCUUAGCUUGGACGCAUCCAAUCAGGCGUGAGGGCUCUUUAAGGAGGCGGGGCAUUGCUCCACCGCUUCCGCUUCUCAUUGGUCCCGAGGCUCGCUUCUUCGCCUUUGAUUGAUCAGAGGGCCAGAGGGAGCCAAGCCCAGCGGUUUCGGGCGGCGGGUACAAUUCUGUCCCUUUUGCUUCUUUGCAGCUUCGGGGUUCUGGCGAGUGUUGUUUGGCGUCUCUUUCCCGUGGCUAGUGAAGAAAUGGGGGUGGGGUGUGGCAUGGGGGAGGAUCUGGAAGGGGCCAUGCUGAGGGGGGCGUGACUCANNNNNNNNNNNNNNNNNNNNNNNNNNNNNNUGCGAAGGCGAGUGCCUGGGCACGUGGGAGCUAAUAAUCCUUCAGAUAGUAGGGGAAAGACAGGCGCUGUAGCAUUGUUAACAACAGCUCCGACUUUAAGCCCUUUCUUUGUUUCUCAUCUCAUUGACUCCUUCUAUUACUAGCCAGGUUGAACACGGAGGGCUAGAGGUGGUCACUUGUCUCAGGUUCCACAGUGAACAUGGGCAUUGCUGGGACUCUGACCUUUUUCUGGUGAGAAUUCAACAUCCGAGCUACACUAUAGUUAAAUAGGCUUGAUCUUGUAGAUGUGGAAUCGGGUGUGAUGUGGUCACAUUAACCUUGGUUUAACUUCAUCUAUAAAUAAGGUUUUUGUUUGGGGUUUUUUGUUUGAUUGGUUUUUGUUGUCGUUUUUAGACUUGAAUCCCAUUCCCAUCCUGAAGGCCCAGAACAUAUUUUCAACUCCUCAGGGCAAAUGCAUUUGCAUUCUAGAAAAGGAUAUUUUAAAAAUCCGCAUCAUGAUAUCGCUGCUGGUUUUUGGUCACUAACAUCAAACCAGGCCAGUUUAAAGUGCUUUACAUGCAUCAUCUGAUUGAAUCCUCCUAACAAGUUCAAUCAGAUAUUUACUAUUUUUCUUACUUCACAGAUAAGUAAAUCGUGGCUGAUUUCCCUAAGAUCUCACCAGGAGUAAUUGCCAAAGCUGGAAUUGAAUUCCUGUUGCAAUUUGACUCUAGAGCCUAAGCUCCUAACUGCUGAUAUAUACUGUCUCUCAUGCUAACAGCUAGUGUCCAGAGAGAGGGCACACAUGGUCCCAGGGAAUCCUCACAGCCACCCCAGGAAGAAGAAUGACAGCACCCAUUAAAGCAGACAACUGAGGCUCAUGGAAGUGAAGACACUCAGCUCACACAGCUAGUCCAUGAUUGAGCAAGGAGUAGAAUGAAUGAUACCCAGUCUUCUGAAUCCAAACCCACAGUCUUAAUCUCUCCUCACACUGCUUCCCUCCCAUUUGACUGGUGGAGAAAUUGAGGCCCUGAGGAGAAAUCAAAGCUUGAACUCAGAUCCAGAUCUAUGAGACCCAGGAGAUCACCCCCAUACCACAUUGCCUCCAAGAAUUCGGUGUCUAGUAGAUUCUGUGUUUGGACAUGACUGAAGCGACUAAGCACACACAGCACAGAUCCUGUGUUAGGUGAGGUGAAAAGUCUUCUCAGCCAGCCAGCCUUGUCUGCAAGCAGUGAGGUCAUCUGGCCCCAAAGCUGGCCCUAAAGGUAGUUGGGAGACUAUUUCACAGCCUUGGAAUCUUUGGCGGCUUCUCACUGAGAAGCCUGUAAUCAUAAUUGUGACAAUUUAUUGAACACUUUUUAUGAGUCAGGUGAGGUGGAAAGCGUUCUGCAUGUAUCACCUCACUAAAUCCUUUUAAUUCUAGGGUAUAGCAAUUGUUAUUGUCUCCAUUUUACAGGUAAGCAAACUGAGACCCUGGGAUGGAUGAAACAUUUCUAUGCUUACAGAGCUAGUGAAUCAUGGAGCCUGGAUUGGAAUCCAGCCCUUACUCAAGCCCUCAAUUCCAGCUACUCAGCACAUGCAAGCAUGAGAAGAUGGAGUGAGGGACCCUGAGUUCUGGCAAGAUGGAAUAGGAAGCAUUGUUGGCUUCAUUCUGGAAGUCAUAAGAUUAGAAGAGUCAGCUGUAUGAGAUGAGUAGAGAAAUAACUAUGGCUUAUGGACCAGCGAUCCCAUGCCAGGUCCUAUGUUAACUAGAUUUAUGUUGAAAAGCAGAGAAUCUUGUGGUUAAGAAGCUGGACACUGGAUCCAGUCUGCCUGGAUUCAUGUUCUUGCCUUACUACUUGCUAGUUAUGAGACCUUUAGCAGCUUACUUAACCUGUCUUGACCUCAAUUUCCUCAUCUGUAAAGUGGGGUUAAUGAUACUAAAUACCUGUUAGGACUGUCAAGAGGAUUAAAUGAACUAAUAGAACAACAGCAUCUCUUCUCUUCCGCAGUGCCCUGACACUGAGUUGUUUCCUUGUAAUCAGUAUCACCUGCCUUAAUUCUGGUGUAGACACUGAAAAUUAAGUCCAGAUAUUUGCAAUGGGAAAAUAUAGGGGAAGUAUUCUCCUGUGGCAAGUACAAAGCCCUUGAGAGAGCAGUGAACUUAGCAUUUCUGAGGGAUAGCACGAAGUCCAGCUGGAGCCAGGCAGAUGACUAAGACUCAGGAGUUCAACUUAGCUGCACAUGUGCUCAUAAGAGGCAUCAAAACGACCUUGUACUUUUCAAAGCAUGAUGGACUUUACCUAAGCUUUGACCUCUGGGGAAACUCAAGGCCAUGUUUAUUUUUGAGGCUCAGUAUGCAAGCACAGGUAGUGGGGCAGGAGGAGAAGGGGAUGACAGAGGAUGAGAUGGCUGGAUGGCAU